UCUCAGACUUUUUGUGUACUGUUUUUCGGGACUCAGACAGAACUUGAUAUGUACUUGGAAGCUUCACAGAUUCGAGAACGGGCAACUGAAAGAAUCACUAAUGUUGUUGGAAUGCACUUGAUGUGUAGGAGACUGAUGGUUAUGCCCUGCAUCAGACACAACUGAAAAUUUGAAGUUGCAAGAUGCACAAAUAUGUACAAGAUUACGGACCAUCCUUUCCUGAUCAGAGCAAUCAUUGUUGAGUUAGUGAGACUAUACAAAGAGUCUGAUCUUGGGCCGGAAAAGCCUCUACACCGCCGGAUAGCUUC